CCAUGUUAGAUAUGUUCACUGAAAAAACAAACUGAUUUGGUUAUUUGAUUCAAAGACAUUUACAAUUUUGGUCAUUUGAUUGCUUUCAGGUUAAAUGAACAGUUCAUUUAUUCUAUGUGAGUUUUUUAUUAAAGAUCAUUUUCAUUAGAAAGUUGUCUGGGCUUAUUCUGGUUUAAGUCAUAAUGCUAAUGUAAUGGCUUGAGAGCAAAAGGAAAAGAUUAGUUUACCUUAGGUGAACCUGCCAGGUUUUUACCAGAAAUCAACGAACCCAAGAAGACACCCCACCUGUUUUAGAUUCUAGUACAGUUACUAGACUGGGUAAGGGGGUGCUACACAGUAGUCUAAGCGUGAGGAGAUGAAGGUGUGGAGAACUGUCUCAAGUUCAGAGCGGGACAGAAUGGGACUCAGCUUAGCAACGUUCCUGAGAUGGAAGAAGGAAGAGCCAACAAGAGAACUGACAUGAGAAUCCAGGGUGAGAGCUGGGUCAAAGGUCACGCCAAGAUUCCUGACAGAAGGUUUGGUGUGGGAAGCAAGCUGACCAAGAGAGUCUCUGACUUUGGGAACCAGCUUGUCUGGGGCACAGAUGAGGAUCUCAGUCUUAUCUUCAUUCAGCUGUAGAAAGCUCCCAGCAUCCAGGUUUUGAUGGAGUCUAAGCAGGUGUGUAACAGCUGCAGCUUAGACAUCUUGUAACCCUGGUUAACAUAGCUCCCAAUAAAUAAAAGCCUGUUAAUAGAAACAGUCAAAAGAAAUAUAUUACAGGUUACAAAUAGUCAAUAAAUGGAUCUUAAUGGUUAAAACGACUCAUUAAAAACAUCAGUAGUUUUAUAUUUAUUUUAUUUGUGUUUAAAAACAUGUUAAAAGGUUAAGAACUUGCAAAUUCAUGGGUUUUUAUGUUAAUUCAGAAAAAAAAAAGCAAAAAUAUCUGUUCAGACUCUUAAUUUGAAGGGCACGUUGCAGCGUGACUCAUGAUCCGCUACAGCCAACCGGGUAGUUCUUUCACUUUGGCGCUGCGGAGGAAGAGAUGCAGACAGUCCUUGCGGAGCUGCUGCGUAAAUGAGAAAAAAUAUAUAUUAAAUACCAACCUAGAAGUCCACAUAAAGCCAUUUUGAGACUCUGGAGAAGGUAUUUCUGUUUCCUGACCGGCUGUGCCUUGGUGAUGUUGUGAACAUAACUGAAUGGGACUUGGUGAGUUCAGUAACUGUAUUUUAUUUGAUAAAAGAAAUGUUUUGUUGUAUUAUAUUGCUAAUUUCAUGUAAAUGGAAAGCCAAGGUAGCAGAUUUCUGUUGUUUAAUGUUAAAAUGGUUGAUUUCAGCAUUGAAUUUGUGCUCACUCGACACACAGGCGGUAGUUCAUAGGCCGUUGAUGUGUUUUCAGGGCGCCAUGUUGGCACCACCUCGUUGAGGACUAAAUGAGCUAAAAAAAACAGACUUUUACUGUUACCUAAGGGCUAUCUGUGUGUUAUUUUUAAAUGUUUAUGCACCUUAUUCUAUCGUUAUGGUAGGCCAUUAAGGUUUGGACCGGGAAAUGCUGAGCUAGAACCGGAGUUGGAUUUCCUAAGCGUGAAACAAGAUGGGGAGCCGCCCUCGGACCCCUUGAACUGUGCCUUGCAGAAGGAGAAAAACUCCCCCUGCUGGACGUUGCGUUCUUUCACUGGAAUCUGGUAGGAUUUAUCCAUACACCUCUGCAGAAGAACGCUGGACUCACAAAGCACGGGAUAACCAUUCAGAAUAAUUCUGGGAUUUAUGGUUAAAGGAGAAAUACAAUUUUUUUUGUUUUGUUUAAAGGGUUUGUUCAGCCUUUUGCUGAAUUGUUUUUAAGUUUUUACAUUUAUGCUGUUUAUUUUAUUUAUUUUUUUGGUCAAACAUACAUUUCAAUGCUAUAAUGGUAUUAAUGAAAAUGUAAAUUUUGUGGGUGAAACCAAAUAGGAAAUGAUUGAAAUUUAAAGGUGAACUAAACCAAAAUUAAAUUAAAUUUUGGAAUUAAAGAACUAAACUAGAUUUAAAAUAACACAGUGUUAACUUAAAUAGAUUAAAGAACAGACGUGAACUUAGAACUUGAAAUUAAUAAAACAACAACCUAGGUUGAAAAUGGCAUCCUUUUAAAGCCAAAUUAAAGGUUUUGAGACAAAUAGGAUAAACGGGAACUACUGGACAAAAAGGGGAAAAUUAAAAUAUCUUAUUUCCCUGGUGUUAAUUGUUUUAUGUGUAUUGUGAAUUGUAUGUCAACUGUCUAUUUUCUGUUUUUUUUUUCUAAAAAUAAUAAGCCGGUGAUUUAAACUUA